CACACUGCUGCUGUGUCUAAGGAGUAGCUAUUCUUUUAUUCCUUUACUUUCCUAAUAAAUUUGCUUUUGCUUUGCACUGCAGACUCGCCCAAAAUCCCUCCCUUCCUUCCUUCCUUCCCUCCUUCCUUCCUUUCUUUCUCUUUCUUUUUCUUUCUUUUCUUUCUUUCUUUUGACAGAGUCCUGCUCAGUCACCCAGGCUGGAGUGCAGUGGCACCAUCUCGGCUCACUGCAACCUCUGCCUCCCGGGUUCAAGAGAUUCUCCUGCCUCAGCUUCUGGAGGAGCCGGGAUUACAGGUGCACACCACCAUGCCCAGCUAAUUUUUGUAUUUUUAGUAGAGAUGGGGUUUCACCAUGUUGGCCAGAUUGAUCUCAAACUCCUGACCUCAAGUGAUCUGCCCGCCUUUGCCUCCAAAGUGCUGGGGUUACAGCCAUGAGCCACCACCCCCAGCUCUGCAUUCUUUCUUGUACGAGAUCCAAGAACCCACUCUUCGGUUCUGGAUUGGGACCAUUUCUGGAAUCUUCUUUUCAGUGAAUCACAAAAGGAUGAUGCUAAGGAAACGCCCAACCCAAAGGAAAUAGACUGAAUCGCCAAUUGGCUAACUUUUUGUGGUUUGGUGACUCUCGAACCAUGAUUCGGCAGACCUGUGAGGCUGUGAGUUCCCUAUUGGAACACAAUCUGCAGGUUGUAUUGUGCCAUAUACCUGGGACCAAAUUACAAGCACAAUGAUGAAUUUUUUACCUGGAGUCAAGACAUGUGCAGGAUGGUGGAACUUAUCACUGGACCUUUCCACAGUGUUAUUAUGACAUAUAACUUUGUCCAACAUAUGGAGUCUUACUCUGUCGCCCAGGCUAGAGUGUAAUGGUGUGAUCUUGGCUCACUGCAACCUUCACCUGGAAGGUCAAAGUCAUUCUCUUGCCUCAGCCUCCUGAGUAGCUGGGACUACAGGCAUGCUCCACCAUGCCCAGCUAAUUUUUUUGUAUUUUCAGUAGAGACAGGGUUUCACCAUGUUGGCCAGGCUAGUAUUGAACUCCUGACCUGUUGCGGGAAGUCAGGGACCCUGAACGGAGGGACCAGCUGGAGCCGCAGUAGAGGAACAAAAAUUUUGAAGAUUUCAUUUUAAUAUGGACAUUUAUCAGUUCCUAAAUAAUACUUUUAUAAUUUCUUAUGCCUGUCUUUAAUCUCUUAAUCCUAUUAUCUUUGUAAGAUGAGGAUGUAUGUCACCUCAGGACUACUGUGAUAGUUGUGUUAACUGUACAAAUUGAUUGUAAAACAUGUGUGUUUGAACAAUAUGAAAUCAGUGCACCUUGAAAAAGAACAGAAUAACAGUGAUUUUUAGGGAACAAGGGAAGACAACCAUAAGGUCUAACUGCCUGCAGGGUUGGGCAAAAAGAGCCAUAUUUUUCUUCUUGCAGAGAGCCUAUAAAUGGACAUGCAAGUAGGAGAGAUAUCACUAAAUUCUUUUCCUAGCAAGGUUUUAAUAUUAAUAUAUUAAAACCCUGGGAAAGGAAUGCAUUCCUGGGGGGUGGUCUAUAAACAUCCACUCUGGGAAUGUCUGUCUUCUGUGGUUGAGAUAAGAGCUGAGAUAUGCCCUGGUCUCCUGUAGUACCCUCAGGCUUACUAGGGUGGGGAAAAACUCCACCCUGGUAAAUAUGUGGUCAAAGCAGUUCUCUGCUCUCAAACUGUUUUCUGCACAUCAUGGUGUUUUUCCAUGAUGUGCUCUUUCUCUUAAAAAGACCUCUGAUUAAGUUUAGUCUAAUCAAGAUAAUCUCUUUUAUGAUAAACAGGAAGCCAAUACAUUAGUAACAUAAUUACAUGAAUAAUGUCCCACCACAGUCACACAUUUUGUCACACUCAAGAGAAAAGGAUUACAUAGCAGGUGUGCAGUGAAGUGGGAAUCUGAGGGUCACUUGAGAAUUUUGCCUACCCACUUGAAUAGAUUUCAAAAAUUGCCUUUCAGUUGCUUUUGUUGUCUUUCUAAGUAAACAAAGAUAUCAUCUGCAAAUAAUAAUUAAUUGAACUACUUUUCAAUUUUAUUCAUGAAUUACUUAUCUUUUUCUGGCUUGUAUGAAGUAUUUCUUAUUUAUAGUAUACAUUCACAUAUAUACAUAUAUAACAAUACAAAUGUAUCCAUUUUCAUUUUUGUUAAAUUUUUAAGAAUGGAUGUUAAAGGUAACUUCUUUUCUGUUUGACAGGGUUUUUAUUGUUGUAUUCAAGAGUAUUAUCUCUGGAGUCAAAGUUGCUUGUUUUUUAAUACUGGCUCUGCUAUUAUUUCUCUCCCUGGCAAGUUAUUUCUCUCCCUGGCUCUGUUUCUUUCUUUGUAAAUUAAAGAUAAUAAUGAUACCUUUGUUAUUAAGUUACUGUGUCUAAUAGUCCAUUCUCACAUUGCUAUAAGGACACACCCAAGACUAGGUAAAUUAUAAAGAAAAGAGGCUAAUUUGACUCACAGUUCAGCAUGGCUGGGGAGGCCUCAGGAACCUUACAAUAAUGGCAGAAGGUGAAGGAAAAGCAGGUAUCUUUUUCACUUAGUGAAGAACAGGAAAAAUUACCACUUAUAAAACCAUCCAAUCUCAUGAGAACUCACUCACUAUCAUGAGAACACCAUGAGUAUCAUUCUGCCCAUGGCCCCUUCCAAAUCUCACACCCUUUAUAUAUUUCAAAACCAAACAUGCUUUCCCAAGAGUCUCCCAAAAUCUUAACUUAUUUUAGCAUCAACCCAAAAGUCUAACUCCAAAGUCCAAUCUGAGACAAGGCAAGUCCCUGCUACCUAUGAGCCUGUAAAUCAAAAGCAAAGUAGAAACUUCUAAGAUACAGUGUGGGUACAGGCCUUAGAUAAGUUAUCCCAUUUCAAGUGGGAGAAAAUGGCCAAAACCAAAGAGCUACAGGCCUCAUGCAAUUUUGAAUUCCAACAGGGCAGUCAUUAAAUCUUAAAGCUCUGAGAUGAUCUCGUUUGACUCCAUGUCUCACAUGUGGGGCAUGCUGAUGCAAGGGGUGGGCCUCAUGACCUUGGGCAGCUCCUUCAUGGACUGGAAUUGAAUGCCUGUGGCUUUUCCAGGUGCACAGUGCAAGCUCAUGGCGGAUCUGUCAUUCUGGGGUCUGGAGUAUAGAGGCCUUCUCACAAGUCCAGUAGACAGCUUCAGGGGGGACUCUGCAUGAGGGCUCCAACCCCACAUUUCCCUUCUGCAUUGCCCUAUUACUGGUUCUCCAUGAGGGCUCUGCCCCUGUAGAAGACUUCUGCCUGAACAUCCAGGCAUUUUUAUCCAUCCUCUGAAAUCUAGGCAGAGGUUCCCAGAGCUCAACUCUUGUCUUAUGUUCACUGACAUGCCCAAUACCACAUGGAAGCUACCAAGGUUUGAGGAUUGCACUUUCUAAAGAAAUAACCCAAGCUGUACCUUGGCCCUUUUUAGCCACAGCUGGAUCUGGAGCAGCUGGGAUGCAGGGCACCAAGUCCCAAGACUUCAUAGAGUAAUGGGGCCCUGGACCUCGAACAUGAAACCAGUGUUUCCUCCUAGGGCGCCUGGCCUAUGAUGGAAGGACCUGCCUCAGACCUUUAACAUGACCUGAAGACAUUUUCCCCAUUGUCUUGGCUAUCAAUAUUCAGCUUCUCUUUACUUUUGCAAAUUUCUGCAGUGCCUCGAAUUUCUUUCCAAAAAAUGGGGUUUUAUAUUCUAAAUCAUGAUCAGGCUGCCAACUUUCCAAACUUUUAUGUUCUGCUUCCACUUUAAACAUAAGUUUUUCAUCUCCAUCUGAGACCACCUCAGCCUGGACUUUAUCAUCUAUAUCACUCUUAGCAUUUCAGUCAAAAGCAUUCAACAAGUCUCUAAGAAGUUCCAAACUUUCCCACAUUUUUCUAUCUUUUUCUGAUCUCUCUAAACUGUUUCAACCUCUGCCUAUUACCCAUUUCCAAAGUCACUUCCACAUUUUCAAUUAUCUUUAUAGUGCCCCAAACUCCCAGUAUUAAUUUUCUGUAUUAGUCUGUUUUCACACUACUAUAAAGAUACUACCAGAGAAUGGGUAAUUUAUACAGAAAGGAGGUUUAAUUUACUCACAAUUCUGCAUGGCUGGGGAGGUCUCAGGAAACCUGCAAUUACAGUGGAAGGUAAAGGAGAAGCAAGUACCUUCUUCACUAGGCAGCAGGAGAGAGAGCAGAAAAAAACCACCAGUUAUACAACCAUUAGAUCUUUUGAGAACUCACUUACAAUCAUGAGAACAGCAUGGGGGAAAAUUACCCUCAUGUUCCAAUCAACUCCCACCAAGUCCCUCCCUUAACAUGUGGGGAUUACAAUUUGUGAUAAGAUUUGGGUGGGAUAUGAUUUUACAGUAAUGAAUUCAAUACAAGACACAGAAUAUAGGUUUAUUUUUUUGAGGAUCUCUGAGGUUUCCAGGUUUUUUGUUAAUUAUCCACCUUAUUAAAAUAUUCUUUUUUGUUUCAAUAUUGUUCUUCUGUUCUGAAAAUGCAUACAGACUCACACACAAACACACUCACUUGCUACAUAACUUUCUUAUACAUAGGGUAUAUCUUUUUUUUUUUAAACGGUGUCCUGCUCUGUCAUCCAGGCUGGAGUGCAGUGGUGGCAUCUUGGCUCACCGCAACCUCUGCCUCCCAGGAUCAAGUGAUUCUCCUGCCUCAGCCUCCCUAGUAGCUGGAAAUACAGGCACGCAUCACCACGCCCAGCUAAUUUUUUGUAUUUUUAGUAAAGAUGGGGUUUCACCAUGUUGAUCAGGCUGGUCUUGAACUCCUGACCUCAAAUUAUUUGCCCCACUAGGCCUCCCAAAGUGCUGAGAUUACAGGCAUGAGCCACUGUGUCUGGCUGAUAUAUCUUUAGAGAAAUAUGUUUGUAUAUGUAACUCUAUGUAAAUCAAAACUAAAAGUCUGUUUUUGUUUGUCAGCAGAGAGGCACAUGUACAAAAAUACAUAUAAAACAAGUUUUUAAAAAUAUUUAAUCAAGACUCAGAAAUGUAUGGAUAUUAAUUAUAAUCAUGUAAUUUUUAUGAUCAUAAAAUGACCCUGUGGUUAAUAAUUCAAUUGCACAUAUUGAAAUAACUAAAACUGUAUAAUGGGAUUGUUUGUAAUACAAAGGAUAAAUACACGCUCGUGAUGAGGAAUACCUCAUUUACUCUGCUGUGAUAAUUAAAUAAUAUAUGCCUGUGUUAAAAUGUCUCAUAUAUGCUGUAAGUGUGUAUGUUGGGAACAAGCUCCCCAAAAUCUGGCCAUAAACUGGCCAUAAACAAAAUCUCUGCAGCACUGUGACAUGUUCAUGAUGGCCAUAAAGCCCACGCUGGAAGGUUGUGGGUUUACAAGAAUGAGAGCAAGCAACACCUGGCCUGCCCAGGGCGGAAAACCACUUAAAGGCGUUCUCAAACCACAAAAAUAGCAUGAGCAAUCUGUGCCUUAAGGACAUGCUCCUGCUGCAGAUAACUAGCCCAACCUAUUCCUUUAAUUUGGCCCAUCCCUUCAUUUCCCAUAAGGGAUACUUUUAGUUAAUUUAAUAUCUAUAGAAACAAUGCUAAUGACUGGCUUGUUCUUAAUAAAUAUGUGGGUAAAUCUCUGUUCGAGGCUCUCAGCUCUGAAGGCUAUGAGACCCCUGAUUUCCCACUUCACACUUCUAUAUUUCUGUGUAUGUGUCUUUAAUUCCUCUAGUGCCACUGGGUUAGGGUCUCCCUGACUGAGCUGGUCUUGGCAUGUGUAUGCACGCUAACUACCCACAAAAUUUUUUUAAAAAUCUAAAUAGGGUAAAAAAGAAUACAAAUUUGAUUUAUGAGAACAAAAUUCUUCAACUUAUUUUCAGUUUAGACCACUGGCAGGCCAGGUGUGGUGACCUCCGCCUGUAGCCCCAGCACUUUGGGAUGCUGACGUGGAUGGAUUACCUGAGGUCUGGAGUUCAAGACCAGCCUGGCCAACAUGGUGAAACCCCAUCUCUACUAAAAAUACAAAAAUUAUCCAGGCAUAGUGGCAUGUGCCUGUAGUCCCUGCUACUUGGCAGGCUGAGGCAGAAGAAUCACUUGGACCCAGGAGGUAGAGGUUGCAGUGAGCUGAGAUCAUGCCACUGCACUUCAGCCUGGAUGAAAAAGUGAGACUCCAUCUCAAGAAAAAAAAAACUGUUUUUAAAUAAAUUCUCUUAGGUUCAUUAUGCUUUGAGGGUUGGUUAAAGGCUUUGUUACAUUUUUUUACAUUUAUAAGAUUUUUGUCCAAUAUGAAUUCUCUUAUGUACAAUUAAGGUAUGGAACUAGAUAAAGGCUUGGCCACAUUCUCUACACUUGUAAUGCUUUCUUUCCAGUAUAAAUUAUUUUAUGUAUUAUAAGGUCUGAGGGCUGGACUUUGCCACAUUAUUUACAUUUGUAGGGUUUCUCUCCAGUGUGAAUUAUCUUAUGUUUAGCAAGACUUGAAUGCCACUUAAAAGCUUUGUCACAUUCUUCACAUUUGUAUGGUUUCUCUCCAGUAUGAAUUCUCUUAUGUGCCUUUACAGUUGAGGAGCAGUUAAAGGUUCUGCCACAUUCUUCACAUGUGUAGGGUUUCUCUCCAGUAUGAAUUAUCUUAUGUGUCUUAAGAGUCGAGGAGCAGUUAAAGGCUUUGCCACAUUCUUCACAUGUGUAGGGUUUCUCUCCAGUAUGAAUUCUCUUGUGGUAAAUGAGGGCUGAGGAUACGCUAAAGGCUUUGCCACAUUCUUCAC
rnacentral:lncRNA from 1 species